CCUGGUGAGGUCGAGAAAAGCUGUUCUCGGCCCAUGAAGACGAUAGUUUGCUCGCCAGAUGUUCGCUAAAUUGCCUCGGAGAGUAUACUGUGUUCCCAAAAAGAGUCUGCGACGCGCGCAGCAUGAAGUACCCGCUCGCUGCCACGUGCAACUGUACGCGUCGGAUCCUAAUGUGGAUGGCGGGUGCGAGGAGUUUGUGGGGCACGUGAGGCGCGUCGUGCCUCGCCAAUCACGAGGCGGCCGUUCCCGCUCGAUUCCGUGGCGUCAAUUUGGUUACAACUGCUGUCGAAGACUCCCCGAAAAUUCCUACAAUGCCCUUCUUGUCCUUGUCACUCUUCUCAUGUCUCUCCGCCUCUUUCAUUUUCUUGACCCCCGCAUCCUAACAACAGCAGGAAGAUUCCAACGAAUUCGAAUCGCAUUCACCGUCUCCACCCCCCAGCCAUGGCGAUCUUCGAGGAACCUCCCAAUUCGCCCUUCCCCAGCAUCCUCUCCUCUUCUCCCUCCCCCGUUGGGUCGGUGGAGCCCGCCUCCAGCAUGGAAGCCCUGCCGCGCGGGUCCGAUUCUGUGGAGGCCACAAGGGAGACCCGGAAGAUCGAGAUGUAUUCGCCGCUCUACUACGCUGCUUGCACCUUCGGUGGCCUCGCCAGCUGCGGCCUCACUCACAUGGCCAUUACCCCGCUCGACGUUGUCAAGUGCAAUAUGCAAAUUGACCCAGAAAAGUACAAGAGCAUCUCAUCAGGAUUUGGUGUUUUGCUAGAAGAGCAAGGAUUCAGAGGCUUCUUCAAGGGUUGGGUGCCAACCCUGCUUGGUUAUAGUGCUCAGGGUGCAUGCAAGUUUGGAUUUUAUGAGUUGUUUAAGAAGUUCUAUGCAGACCUUACUGGACCCAAGCAUGCAUCAAAAUAUAAGACGCUCAUUUACCUCGCCGGAGCUGCUUCUGCUGAAGUAAUUGCUGAUAUCGCUCUUUGCCCCAUGGAGGCUGUGAAGGUACGGGUGCAAACACAACCACGGUUUGCUAGGGGCUUGACUGAUGGACUUCCCAAGUUUAUCAAAUCAGAAGGUGUUCUAGGGUUAUAUAAGGGACUCCUUCCACUUUGGGGACGUCAGAUUCCUUAUACAAUGAUGAAAUUUGCUUCUUUUGAGACAAUUGUUGAGAUGAUAUACAAGCAUGCCAUUCCCAAGCCAAAGGAGCAGUGUAGCAAAACGCUGCAGCUUGCAGUGAGCUUUGCUGGUGGCUAUGUGGCUGGGGUAUUCUGUGCCGUGAUAUCUCAUCCUGCUGACAACCUGGUCUCUUUUCUCAACAAUGCAAAGGGCGCGACUGUCACUGACGCCGUAAGACAACUUGGUUUAUGGGGCCUUUUCACCCGUGGUCUUCCGCUGCGUAUUGUUAUGAUUGGUACUCUGACUGGAGCACAAUGGGGAAUCUACGAUGCCUUCAAAGUCCUCGUUGGCCUGCAAACAACCGGUGGGCUCAUACCUCCAACCACUUCGAACCAAGAACAUGCAAAACAAAGUUGAUCAUUUUGAAUCACCGACGACUCGUUUUUAGUCCUCAGACUCGGGCAAUUAGUUCAUCAGGAAAUAUUAUAUAUGUUUGGUGGCCACAGCAGCUAAUGCAUAGAAUGAGGAAGCCAAAAAGCAUCACAUGGAGAGGUGGAAUUGGGAAGUCAGCGAAGGCUUCUGAACGAGGGGUGUAUCCAACACGCGUCACAGACCAAUGGGAGAAGGCCCCACAGGUUGGUGUGCAGAUAGAUCCCUCCUCUCUUGCUGAUAGCACGAGGAGGGCAUUCCGUGGCAUGAGGUCUCAGAGAAGAAGAAGAAGAAGAAGAAGAAGAGAGAGAGAGAGAGAGACCAUGAGCUGAAACAACAAUUACCAUGUUCCUCCACCUUCGAGUAAGAUGAGGUAAG